rnacentral:rRNA from 1 species
UCAAGCGAACAAGGGCGCAGGGCGAAUGCCUUGGCACUGGGAGCCGAUGAAAGACGUGAUAAGCUGCGAUAAGCUUCGGGGAGCUGCAAAUAAGCAUUGAUCCGGAGAUUUCUGAAUGAGGAAACUCACCUGGGUUCAUACUCAGGUACAAUACACUGAAAUUUAAAAUAGGUGUAUUGAGGGAACCGCCUGAACUGAAACAUCUAAGUAGGGCGAGGAAGAGACAUCAAACGAGAUUCCGUAAGUAGUGGCGAGCGAACGCGGAAGAGGGCAAACCGAGAGUAGAAAUACUUUCGGGGUACGGACUGCUUUUAAGACUUAAUCUGUUAACCGAACGGCAUGGGAAGGCCGGUCAGAGAGUGUGAGAACCACGUAGGUGAAAACGGAGAGAGCUGCGCAGGAUCCAGAGUACGGCCAGACACGUGAAACCUGGUCGGAAUACGGGGGGACCACCCUCCAACCCUAAAUACUACCCAGUGACCGAUAGCGUAUAGUACUGUGAAGGAAAGGUGAAAAGCACCCCGGGAGGGGAGUGAAAAAGAACCUGAAACCCUGUGCCUACAAGCACCUAGAGCGCGUCAAAGCGUGAUAGGGUACUUUUUGUAGAACGGUCCGGCGAGCGAUUGUAUGCAGCAAGGUUAAGGACUUAAGGUCUGGAGCCGAAGCGAAAGCGAGUUUGAAAAGGGCGUUAAGUUGCAUAUAAUGGGCCCGAAACCGGGUGACCUACCCAUGGUCAGGUUGAAGUGGAAGUAAAAUUCCAUGGAGGACCGAACCGACCUCCGUUGAAAAGGCGGCGGAUGAACUGUGGGUAGCGGAGAAAUUCCAAUCGAACCCGGAGAUAGCUGGUUCUCCCCGAAAUAGUUUUAGGACUAGCCUCAAGUUAGAUACCUGGAGGUAAAGCACUGAAUAGCCUAGCGGCCGAGAGGUUAGCGAAGCUUAUCAAACUCAGAAUGCCAGAGUAUUGAUGCUUGGGAGUCAGACAGUGUCAGAUAAAUGUCAUUGUCAAAAGGGAAACAGCCCAGAUCUACAGCUAAGGUCCCAAAGUCAGGUUAAGUGGAAAACGAUGUGAAGAUACGCAGACAACCAGGAUGUUGGCUCAGAAGCAGCCACUCAUUCAAAGAGUGCGUAAUAGCUCACUGGUCGAGCGUCUUUGCGCGGAGAAUUUAACGGGGCUAAACCUGACACCGAAGCUUAGGCAAUACAGUAAUGUAUUGGGUAGGGGAGCGUUGUAUACGCGGAGAAACAGUAGCGCAAGCGGCUGUGGAGUGUAUAGAAGUGAGAAUGCCGGAAUGAGUAGCGCGAAUGCAGUGAGAAUCUGCAUGGCCGAAAGCCUCAGGUUUCUGGAGGAAGGUUCGUCCGCUCCAGGUUAGUCGGGAGCUAAGGUGAGGCCGGAAGGCGUAGCCGAUGCACAGACGGUAGAGAUUCCGUCACCACCAAAAGAGUUAAGCACAGGGACACAUAUGAAGUCUCAGAGCCGGGUGUUGGUUCCGGUAGAGAUCGAGGGAAGUUAGUACCGAAGUCUGAGAUGGAAGAUGGCGAGAAAAGCUGUGUGUAUUUCUGAGGUGCCCGUACCGCAAACCGACACAGGUAGGUAGGAAGAAGAUUCUAAGGCCAACGGGAGAAGGGUUGUUAAGGAACUCGGCAAAUUGACCCCGUAACUUCGGGAGAAGGGGUGCUCCAGAGAUGGAGCCGCAGAGAAUCGGCCCAAGCAACUGUUUACCAAAAACACAGGUUUGUGCUAAAUCGAAAGAUGACGUAUACGAGCUGACGCCUGCCCGGUGCUGGAAGGUUAAGAGGAGAUGUGCAAGCAUUGAAUCGAAGCCCCAGUGAACGGCGGCCGUAACUAUAACGGUCCUAAGGUAGCGAAAUUCCUUGUCAGGUAAG